GACGAACGCUGGCGGCGUGCCUAAUACAUGCAAGUAGAACGCUGAAGGAGGAGCUUGCUCUUCUGGAUGAGUUGCGAACGGGUGAGUAACGCGUAGGUAACCUGCCUGGUAGCGGGGGAUAACUAUUGGAAACGAUAGCUAAUACCGCAUAAUAGUAGAUGUUGCAUGACAUUUGCUUAAAAGGUGCAAUUGCAUCACUACCAGAUGGACCUGCGUUGUAUUAGCUAGUUGGUGAGGUAACGGCUCACCAAGGCAACGAUACAUAGCCGACCUGAGAGGGUGAUCGGCCACACUGGGACUGAGACACGGCCCAGACUCCGUACGGGAGGCAGCAGUAGGGAAUCUUCGGCAAUGGACGGAAGUCUGACCGAGCAACGCCGCGUGAGUGAAGAAGGUAUUCGGAUCGUAAAGCUCUGUUGUAAGAGAAGAACGAGUGUGAGAGUGGAAAGUUCACACUGUGACGGUAUCUUACCAGAAAGGGACGGCUAACUACGUGCCAGCAGCCGCGGUAAUACGUAGGUCCCGAGCGUUGUCCGGAUUUAUUGGGCGUAAAGCGAGCGCAGGCGGUUAGAUAAGUCUGAAGUUAAAGGCUGUGGCUUAACCAUAGUACGCUUUGGAAACUGUUUAACUUGAGUGCAAGAGGGGAGAGUGGAAUUCCAUGUGUAGCGGUGAAAUGCGUAGAUAUAUGGAGGAAUACCGGUGGCGAAAGCGGCUCUCUGGCUUGUAACUGACGCUGAGGCUCGAAAGCGUGGGGAGCAAACAGGAUUAGAUACCCUGGUAGUCCACGCCGUAAACGAUGAGUGCUAGGUGUUAGACCCUUUCC
rnacentral:rRNA from 1 species